GUGCUUGCUCCAGCAGCACAAGUGCACAUUGGAAUGGCACAGAGGAGAUUAGCAUGGCCCCUGCCCAAGGAUGGCAGGCAAGUUCAUGAAGAGUUCCAUGUUUGG
ensembl:snRNA U6 U6 spliceosomal RNA